rnacentral:lncRNA from 1 species
UUCUUUCCUACAAAUUGUAGUCUUAUCCUCCCAUCUUCUUUAAAGUGAUGUUAUCUGUCAUCUGGGGAGAAGAGCUGCUCAGCACAAGAGAGAUUCCUUGCCCAGGAGAGAAUUUCAUCACCCCAUCCCUCCUGUGUAAUAUGAAACAUCAUAACCAGAAAGAAACAAUUCAACAUCCUGCUUGCCAUCAGACAAUUUCGAGGUGUGUUGAUAUUGAUGGGGGAAUGGAUCAUUCCGUGGUCUUUUUUUUCCAAGUUUGGAUUUAUU